UACGGGGGGAGCAAGCGUUGUUCGGAUUUACUGGGCGUAAAGGGCGCGUAGGCGGCUCGGCACGUCCGUUGUGAAAUCGCCCGGCUCAACUGGGCGGGGUCGGCGGAUACGGCCGAGCUGGAGCAAGCUAGGGGGUAAUGGAAUUCCCGGUGUAGUGGUGGAAUGCGUAGAUAUCGGGAGGAACACCAGUGGCGAAGGCGGUUACCUGGAGCUUGCUGACGCUGAUGCGCGAAAGCGUGGGGAGCGAGUCCGG
rnacentral:rRNA from 1 species